CCUCAGCUGACCUACCACAUCAUCCCCUCCAGUUCCAUCCAUGUUGAUGCAAAUGGUGGGUGUUCAUCCUUUCUGAUGCCAGCCAUUCUUUUGGACAUGAGUACUGCAAGUAGGCUCCAGGCCCAGCGUGGAGCCCAA